CUGAUAUCUUGGAAAAGGCAGCAGUUUCUGCGUGUGUCCCAUGCUUAGCUCAUGUUUCAAACGUUCAGGCUUCUGGAAGUGGGAUGUGGGCCAAGCACUCUCUGGGCCAAGCACCCAGCCUUGGCUCAGGGCCUUCCAGAAGAGGCUUGGCAGCCGCUGGGUCUUGCUGGCUGUGCAAAGGGGGCCUCCCUGACCCCAACACCCAGGGCCUGCAGGAUUAAGAGGGUCC